AUCAUUGAAACAAAACAUAGAACUUUUAUUUCCUAAAAAAAACAUAAAACUUUUACGAUAUAAAGUGAUUAUAAAUUUCUUUCUAUAGACUUAGAAAAAAUAUGGUCAAAAUUAUUAAGUAUGUUAAUCUAUUGAUCCUCUUUAUUUCCAUUUUUCUUGUUGUAACUGAUGUUAGUGCACAGAAAAGGUGUAAGGAAGAUUUUGAUUGUAGAAUUCGUAGUUGUGCAUAUCCCCUUAUUCCAGUGUGUAUUGAUCCCUUUUGUCGUUGUCGCCGUGCUUCUAUUUGAAAACAAAACUUUGUGAUAAGAGAUUGAUAAUGUAACCUAUAUAUUAUCUAGGGAUGGAAUUAAAAUCUCAUAUGGAAUACUUAUACUAUAAUGGUUCUUAAAGCCACCUAUAUAUUAACAAUAAAUUCUUCUUUUUCUUCUAAAAAAAUAAUAAUUCUUGUUUCCCAAUAUUUUGUUUAAAAUGUAAUCGUCAUUGAUAGUAAUUAUAAUAGUUACUUCCUCCGUCUCA